rnacentral:rRNA from 1 species
AUUGAACGCUGGCGGCAGGCCUAACACAUGCAAGUCGAACGGUAACAGGAAACAGCUUGCUGUUUCGCUGACGAGUGGCGGACGGGUGAGUAAUGUCUGGGAAACUGCCUGAUGGAGGGGGAUAACUACUGGAAACGGUAGCUAAUACCGCAUAACGUCGCAAGACCAAAGAGGGGGACCUUCGGGCCUCUUGCCAUCGGAUGUGCCCAGAUGGGAUUCGCUAGUAGGUGGGGUAACGGCUCACCUAGGCGACGAUCCCUAGCUGGUCUGAGAGGAUGACCAGCCACACUGGAACUGAGACACGGUCCAGACUCCUACGGGAGGCGGCAGUGGGGAAUAUUGCACAAUGGGCGCAAGCCUGAUGCAGCCAUGCCGCGUGUAUGAAGAAGGCCUUCGGGUUGUAAAGUACUUUCAGCGGGGAGGAAGGGAGUAAAGUUAAUACCUUUACUCAUUGACGUUACCCGCAGAAGAAGCACCGGCUAACUCCGUG